rnacentral:misc_RNA from 1 species
AACAUUUUGAGCAUUUUGAGUGGAAUAGUUUAGUCUAUUUUACAGAAUUAUAAGAAGGAAUAGUCAUUCAAAUACACAACUCACCAAAUCAGAAGCUCAGAUGAGCAGAAAAUGGAUAAUUGUACCAAAUAGUUCAUUUAGAAGUUGUACGUAAACAUCCGGAGGAACGCCAAUCACAUAUUCUCAAUUCAGUAAAAUGCAGAACCAAGAUUAAGAAUCAGAGGAACACUCCACUGCUGUCCCAACGGGCACACGAAUAUCCUUAUAGAGGCAAACAUAAGGUGCAUCACUUCCCACAUAAGUCCCAGCCCACCUGCCCUCAGCAAUGUAGCUUGCAUCCCAAACUGAAGCAUACAAGAACAUGGGUUUCUCAGGAAAAGUCACACCGUCCUUUCUCUCCUCUUUUCUCACCACCUUCCCAUCAACAAGCCACUGUAUUGAAUUUGGACUCCACUUGAUUACAUACUCGUGAAACCCAUCAGAGCAAUCAAACCCCAGAUCGUGAAUUUGUUCUCUGUUCCCAGUCCCUGUAGUGAAGUAGUUAGUUUGCACAAUGGUCUUGUCCUUGCCUAGGAACUCGAAGUCGAUCUCGUCCUGAGAUUUGUCACCUUCAAGAGACGAAAGAUAAAUGUUGAAAUUGAGGCCACUGGUGUUGCCUUGAGGACAUUGGAUGAGGGAACUGAAGGUGCCAUAGAGGAAGCGUGUGGUGCUGCGCCACCGAGCCCCACCGCGGUGAUCAUAGGUGAGGGUGAUGGAGUUGGACACGGGGCAGUGGGUGCAUGCCUCUGGGGUAUAGUCUAUGGCGAUCUGCUUCAUGGGUUGCGUCUCAUGGUGGAGAGCUGGAUCGGCCAUUUCGAUCUGUCAGUCGCGUCUCCGAUCAGCGAAUGAUUGACCAAAUUCUCAAUUUGGGAUUUCAGUUAAAAGCCUUUGGUUGUGGCUAAACGAUGUCGUGCUGCAAUCUCAUUGGUCAGCAAGAAAAUGGCGGUGAAAUGGUCCUAUAUCCAUUUAGGAUAAAGUUAGUAGGUUCAAGCAUUGGUUUACCCUAAGAUAGGGUUACAUGAAUCCUAUCACCAAACAUACGCAAUGCCACUGCAAGGUUGGUCUCUGUCUUUGUUGAAGUAGAGCCACUCAGAAGUGGACACCCAAGCGGUGGCGAGGAAAGGAAUAGCGGGAAGAGAUAAUGGUGGCAUUACACGUGGGCAUUAUCUCUUUCAAUUCUUGCUUUCCUUGUCUGCCUGGUUCUCGUCUCCUCCGACUCCGCUUCACCAAACGCAAAUCAUCUUCCGUUGCUGCCAUGAGUGAGGAUCCAAUCCGUGAAUGGAUUCUGUCAGAAGGAAAGGCAACUCAGAUUACAAAGAUAAGUUCUAUUGGUGGUGGUUGUAUCAAUCUUGCAAGUCGUUACGACACUGAUGCUGGUUCUUUCUUUGUCAAAACAAAUAGGAGUAUUGGACCAUCCAUGUUUGAGGGGGAAGCUCUUGGCUUAGGAGCCAUGUAUGAAACCAGAACAAUCCGUGUACCUAAGCCAUUUAAGGUUGGACCCCUACCAGCAGGAGGAUCUUACAUCAUUAUGGAAUUUAUUGAAUUUGGUGCAUUUAGAGGGAAUCAGGUUGGUGGAGAAACUUCAGUUGACUGAUCAAUGGCGAUUUUUAGUUUGACUUCUUAACUGUUUACCCAUCCCCAGUCUGUCCUAGGAAGGAAGCUCGCUGAAAUGCAUAAAGCUGGGAAAUCUGAAAAAGGCUUUGGAUUUGAUGUUGAUAAUACAAUUGGCAGGUGCAAUCGUUCAGAGAGCACUAUCAUUCUUAUCAUUGUUCACUUUUCUUGCAUAUUUUUAAAAAUGAUGGAUAAUAAACUUAACACUUGCUGAGUUAUAACAAAUUCAAAUCCAAUUUGCAGCACUCCUCAGAUAAAUACAUGGACAUCAGAUUGGAUUGAGUUUUAUGGAGAGCAUAGACUAGGUUACCAACUAAAGUUGGCAUUAGAUCAGUAUGGUGAUACAAGCAUUUACCAAAAAGGUUAGUUUUGUACUUUUCCUUGACAUAGUUAUCUUGUAACUUAAUUACUUGUUUUAGAUACAUUUUCAGAGAUGAGAAACAUGCUAAAUUGCUAAUAUGAUUACCAGAUAAUUCAUGAAAACAGAUAUGGUCUUGGAUUGCAAUUUAUUAUCAAUUGUAACUCAUUAUCUUUUCUUUGGUGAAAUCAUGCAUUUGCCUUUCUAAUAAGAUUUUGAAAUGCGAAAGAAACUAAUUUCAAUGGCUGUUUGACUAAUCAUCUAAGGAAGGUCUUCCCUAAGGGGUGGCAAUUCGGGUUGAUGGGUCGUGUUCAUGUCGUGUCAACACGCGACAUGAAUACAAUUAAAGUCGACACAAACACGACACGAUUAACAAAUUGUGUCAAAAAUUUAAAUACGAACACGACCCCAUUCUAUUAUACGGGUUACACGACACGGUAUAAUUAAUAUUAAAUUGUAUUAGAUGUAUUCAACACUACACAAUUCAUUCAACACGAAAUGACCCAUUUAACAUGGUUUGAUACAACUUAACCUAUUUAACACGCUAUAUAAGAGGGUUCAUGAAUCAUAGUGGGUCAAAUGGUUUAGUGAGUCACGGGUCAACACGUCAACACGUGACAUGAAUAUUAAAUCGUCUCAUAAACGUGUCAAGGCGAGUUAGCGGGUUAACUCGUGACACGGCACGAUUAUAACCGUAUUAUAAAUGGGUCGACACGAAUUCGACACGAACACUAAUAAGCUUAACCCAAACCCUAUAUUUUUGUGUCGUGUUCGUGUCAUGUUCAUGGGUCGUGUCUAAAAUUGUCACCCCCAGUCUUCCCUCAUAAACUGAUGUCAUUGAACCAUGAAAAUAUGCUUUUGGAUCAAGCACUUCUCAUCACUCUUGCAAUAUUUCCUUGGAUACUAAAAGCUGAAAAGUGAAUUGUUUAGAUUGAAGUGCCUUUUAUUACGUGAAAUGCCAGAUUUUUAAGUAGUUUCUGAAAGUGACAUUUGUAUUUUCUGGGAUCAUUAUUUGAUGUAUAAUUAACAGGACAAAGACUUGUUAAGAACAUGGCACCUUUGUUUGAGAACAUAGUUAUAGAGCCAUGCUUGCUUCAUGGAGACUUAUGGAGUGGGAAUAUCAGCUCUGACAAAAAUGGCGAGCCUGUUAUCCUUGACCCAGCAUGUUAUUGUAAGUUUGAUAUGCUAUAUCAUUGUGUGGCAGGAGGGUUAAUUCUAGAGUGUAUUCUCACCCAUGCACACAUAUGGAUGUAUGGUGUAUGCAUGCAAUAUAUAAUGCUUAUAGAUUACCAUUGCUGAAUUAGAUUCCUGCUGCAGAAAAAAUAUGAAAGAAAAUAUCAGUUUCAAUAACUAAUAGCGAUGAAAUGCUAACUCAAGAAGAUUAGAAAUAGUGUUAUUAUUCUUAGAUGCUAUAACCGUGAAUUUCCUGCAAAAGCUUCUGCUUCAAUGACUAAUGCUUUGUGUUUGUUGCUUUUAUUAAUCUACAGAUGGGCAUAGUGAGGCAGAAUUUGGAAUGUCAUGGUGUGCUGGUUUUGGAGGAUCAUUCUACAAUGCUUAUUUUGAGGUAUAUCUGUUUCCAUGCAGAUGAGGGCCUCAUGAGUUAUAAGAAUAUGGUGCAUUAUAUUUUCUUUUUACCGAAAACCAUUACAAUGUCUCCCUCUUGUUAAGUGAGUAAUAGACCUCGCCUGAGGCUCAACAACCAUAAUGCCUUGAUCUUGUUUCUAACAGCCCUUCUAUUCUAACCUCAACGCGAGGCAUGCCUUGGCAGGGGUCUAUGGUGCAGGCUCAGGCAGGCAGUCAUACCUACCAUGAUUUUAGAUAGGAUUCACCAUGAUUUUAACUAAUAUGGCAUUUGUAGAUUGGACGGGUACAUAUUCCCGAGUGUAGAUAAGUAUUUUCUGGCAGUCAUAUGCAUACUUGAGAAAAGGAUAAAGUAUUAUAAAUUUCUUCCCUGUUUAAAAUGUCCAACAUGUAUGGCUUAAACUCCAAGCAGGAGGCCCUGUUGUACUUGUACUGCCUUAAUGUCUGUUUGGAUUUGAAUCAUAUUAUCAUUCUGAUUGUGCUUAUUUUCUUUUUACCAGGUGAUGCCAAAACAACUAGGGUUUGAGAAAAGGAGAGAUCUUUAUAUGUUGUAUCAUUACCUGAACCAUUAUAAUCUUUUCGGUUCUGGAUAUAGAUCAUCGGCGAUGUCAAUAAUAGAUGACUAUCUGCGGCUAUUAAAUGUGUAAUUGGGUACAAGAGAAGUGUAUGCAUUUGUAUAGGCUUUUUGUUGUUGAACUCUUGUUUUAAACAAUUUCAACUCCAUCUUUCUGUUUUAAGCAAUAUAAUAUAUGCCCAAAGAUCUUUACAUUCUAUCCCUUCUCUAAAGAGAAUCCCAGCAAUGUAUUCUCGCUGAUAGGCUUCCAGGCACUGCCUCUGGUCUUCUUU